AUCACUGUAUUCCUCUCUAAAAUUCAUUUCUCACCAACAGCUUGUCCCUUCUCCAAAAUAAAAAACGCUAAACCCUUCUCCAUUGCACGAAACACUUGCUCGAAGAUUUGGUUUUUGCAUCAAUCUUGGCUAGGAAAUCGUUGGACGAGUGCUUUGCAGUGAUUUCUGUGACGAUGUGAAUCGUGGUGGGUAGGAGGCUCCAUUAGAGUUGAAUCGUGGUGGGACGAGGGUUUGGUGGUUGGCGGAGGCUUCGUGGUUCGUCAACGUUGGCGUGAGGAGGCGACAAUGCUGAGGAAAGGCUCGCUGAUCUGUUUAGUGAGGUGGAGGUUUGGUGCAGCUCUGGGCUUGAACGAAUAAGCUGUCUCAUUCUCUGCAAACCGAACCAGACACAAGCUCUGGGACGGGCGAUCCAUGUUGAUGAGGUCUUUACACAGACCCAUGUUCGAAAGGGCACUAAUGAAUUCGUUCAUGAAAGAUCUCAGAAGACUCAUAAUUUUCUACGAGACUUUCACAAGCUAGAUCUGAACAUGGGUUAGCUCCUACACCGGAUGAUGCGAGUAAUGCAGAAGACGACAUCCGUAGGACAUAGUGCUGGGUCGACAUCGUUGGCGGAAAGAAAAGGGGACGAGUGUAUGGUGCAGGACAACUUGCUGCAAACUAUACAACAUUAAGAGGAGGUACUCUAAAGCACCAACCUUCUUCUUCCACCACUACUGUUGACGAGGGCGCCGUUGUCCGCCUUACGCAAGCACUGGAGCAACGUGAGCAGGAAAUCACUGAUUUGAGAGCAAAGUUUAGAAACUUUAAGGCCUUGGUCAUGAGUAUGUUGCCUCAAACUACACAGGAUCGAUUCAUUAUCUCUCCGACCCAGCCUCAACCCUCCCUGUCACUCGCCGUCUCUCAACAGCCCACAUCAGUCCAGCCCUCAUUAGUCCAAUCGAUAUCAGUCCAACCCACACCAGUCCAACCAUCUACAGAGGAGGAGCAGGAUGAUGAAGAUCAUUUAGAUGAUAACUAUGAAGGAUACUAGUAUUAUUUUGUUAUUGAACAUUUUUAUAGAAACACUUGGAUAUUAGAACAUUUGGAUGUUAGAUCAUUUGGAUGUUACAUGAAUUGGAUGUUUUGGAUGUUAGAACAUUAUGUUAGAUUGUUUUAUAUUUCAUUUAUAAAUACAUGUUCUAUUGAUGAUUGGAUGAUUCAGAUGUUAUAUUGUUUUUCUGAUCAAUGAUUGGAUGAUUGAGAUGCAC